CGGAGCGGCCGGGCCGGACUACCGGAGCCCUCGCCCCGCGACUGGCCGACCCUGACCCCGGGCCGGCGGGCCCGGCGCCGCCCGUCCCCUCGCAUGCCGUGAGCACUACCAGCAGGAGAGGCGGCAGCACUACAGACCCGGCGCUGCAGUGCUCGCUUCUUCCCUUCAGGGGACGGUGCUGCACACAAAAGCCGGCUCAGCAUUGUUCUCCCUGACCCGCAAAUCCCCUUUUGCCCGCCGCUGAGUCGCCGGGAGAGUCACCAGAGCCUCCUUCUCGAGUUUCCACGCGGGAAUCACCCACUCCACGCACCCGCGGUGGGGGGCAACCCCAAAACCAGUACUGAAGCAAGACAUUACUUGGGGGCUUUGCCCUCAGGUCUGCGCAAAGCGAGCUGCUCCUUCACUUCGAGGGGCUUGCUUUGCCGACCCGGCGGCACGGCAAGGGCAGCGCUGUCCCCGCGGCCGCCCCGGUGCCGCGGAGCGCCGGGAUCCAACCCUCACCACUGCGCGAAAGCCACGGCGCGGCGGGAAAAGAGACGCGGGAACCGGCGGAAAACUCAAAAGCACGUGGGGAGGAGCGCAGGAGCCACGACACUGAGGAAAAACCACGGCUCGAUUUAAAUAAUUGCAUAAUAUUAGGAUUUAACUUAUAAAUGUUUACAUUUGGGUGA